ACAAGUUCCCAGGUGAUGCUGA
rnacentral:miRNA from 1 species